CAACCAUCAAGCCCCCGGCUUGUGUUGGGGACCUGCGGCUGCCGCAGGCCCUGAAAACCAGUGGCGGGCUCGCUAGUCACUCCGAGCGUAGUAGUAUUAUCUCGCUCAGGGCGUGCUGCGGGUUCCGGCCGUUAAAAAGCCUUUUUUACUUAAUUUUGUUUUUUUUUUUUUUAGGAAGACCCGCUGAACUUAA
rnacentral:misc_RNA from 1 species